GACGAACGCUGGCGGCGUGCUUAACACAUGCAAGUCGAACGGAAAGGCCCCUUUGGGGGUACUCGAGUGGCGAACGGGUGCGUAACACGUGCGUAACCUUCCCUUGACUUCGGGAUAACUUCAGGAAACUGGGGCUAAUACCGGUUAGGAAUCCUUGCUUCAUGGUGGGGGUUGGAAAGCUUCGGCGGUUUUGGCUGGACUCGCGGGUUAUCUGCUUGUUGGUGGGGUAGUGGCUUACCAAGGCUUCUACGGGUAGCCGGCCUGAGAGGGCGACCGGCCACAUUGGGACUGAGAUACGGCCCAGACUCCGACGGGAGGCAGCAGGGGGGAAUAUUGCACAAGGGGCGGAAGCCGGAUGCAGCAACGCCGCGGGCGGGAGGACGGCCUUAGGGUUGAAAAACGCUUUCAGCAGGGGCGAAGCUUGUGGUGACGGUACCUGCAGAAGAAGCACCGGCUAACUACGUG
rnacentral:rRNA from 1 species